CCAGACUCUCUCACUUAAUUUUCCAUUGAUUUUUAAAAGUUGGGUCUAAUUUUUUUUAUUUUAUUUUGAAUUAAUUUCCUAAUUUUUUUUUUGGUUAAUUUUACUAUUUUGAAAGUUUUUACACAAAAAAAAUUAAUAUAUAAGAUUAUUUAUUUAGAAUUUGUGAUUUCUUCUCCAACAGUAUCUUUUUCCAGGAUUUAACUUGCGGUGUUGGUUUAUGAUUUGUAAAUGAAUGCAAGCCUCUAAGGAGGAGACUGCAAACUUGAUCAACCUCUUCUCCCACUUUGAACUAUUCCAAGGAAAGCUUAAAUCGAUAUUCUGGGAAAUGGGGUCUUCAGAUAAACAACAUCUUCAGCCUCAGGAGUCCUUUGGAUGGGCAGCUAGAGACUCAUCUGGAGUUCUCUCUCCUUUCAAAUUCUCAAGAAGGGCAACAGGAGACAAAGAUGUAAAGAUUAAAGUUCUGUACUGCGGCAUCUGCCAUAGUGACCUGCAUGGUAUCAAGAACGAUUGGGGAAUAUCCAUCUACCCUCUCUUGCCUGGUCAUGAGAUUGUGGGCAUAGCAACAGAGGUGGGAUCCAAUGUCGAGAAAUUCAAAGUAGGAGAUAAAGUAGGGGUGGGGUGCAUGGUUGGAUCUUGCGGCUCUUGCAAUGACUGCACAAACAAUCUUGAGAAUUACUGCCCAAAAAUCAUAGCAACUUACAAUGGUAUAGACGACGAUGGAGCCAUUACUUACGGAGGAUACUCAGACUUUAUCAUCGUCGACCAACACUUUGUCAUCAGAUACCCUGAAAGCUUGCCUCUUGAUGCUGGUGCACCCCUUCUGUGUGCUGGUAUUACAGUUUAUAGCCCCUUAAAAUACUACGGCCUUGAUAAACCUGGUAUGAAGUUAGGUGUGGUUGGACUUGGUGGCCUCGGCCAUAUGGCAGUCAAAUUUGCUAAAGCUAUGGGGCUCAAAGUGACUGUGAUUAGUACAUCACCAAAUAAAAAGGAGGAGGCUACUCAACAUCUUGGUGCUGACUCGUUUUUGCUUAGCAAUGAUAAGAAUGAAAUGAAGGCUGCAAUGGGCACAUUGGAUGGUGUUAUUGACACAGUCUCAGUAUUUCAUGCUGUGUUGCCUAUAAUUGGUUUAUUGAAAUCCCAUGGGAAACUUGUUCUUUUGGGCUUGCCUGACAAGCCUCUCGAGCUGCCAGUUUUCCCUUUGCUCCUAGGGAGGAAGACGGUGGCUGGUAGUGUUAUAGGAGGAAUAAAGGAGACGCAAGAGAUGAUUGAUUUAGCUGCAAAGCACAACAUAACUGCAGAUGUAGAAGUUAUCUCAAUUGACUAUGUGAACAAAGCAAUGGAGCGACUUGCCCGUGCCGAUGUUAAAUAUCGAUUUGUCAUUGAUAUUGCAAACACCUUAGCUGCUGGUGUUUGAUCUUUAUUAGAAUUAAUAAUUUUUUUUUUCCUAAUCUCUGAGGAUGAAUUGAUGGAUCAAACUUAAAAUCACUGUUUGCAUUUUGAGAAAAUAUAUUGAAAUAAAGUCCACUUUUUAUUUUGUCCAUCCAUUUUACAUCUCCUAUCCUUUAGUAAUUCCAUUCAUGGGGUUUGCAUCCAAGCUCGCGACACCACAUCAAAGUGACCCCAGCCUCGCCAGUACUAUCAACAUCGCGACGUUGAGGCAGUUCCGGCGGUGGCAUCUUUCCCUCAUGUUUAGGCGGUUCUGGGGUUUGCUGGUGUACAAGCCUUAAGCCUGCCUUUUGGGCUCCUGUUAAUCGGCCCUUCAGUCCCUUUUAUGUUUCAAUCAGCCUAUUUCUGUAUUGGGUAUGGGCCUGGCGUACUGUGUUCGACUUUUAAACCCAUCAAUAAAAUAU
rnacentral:misc_RNA from 1 species